rnacentral:lncRNA from 1 species
GUACGGGGGCGGCGAGCGGGGCUCGGCUCCUCCUCGUCCCGCGCCAGCGCCGCGCCCGGCCGCAUUCUCGGGGCCCGAGGCUCAGCCGCUCGCGGUGGAGAAAGCAGGCCGCGGAGGAGGCGGGCGCCCAGGCCUGCCCGGACAGGAAGUGGGCCCAGCUUUCCCACUCCUCGCUCCGCUCCUUCCUCCGCGGGAAGGGCAGGCCCCGGAGGCAGCGAGCGCCCCGGGGGUGGCCGGGCAGCCGGAUGCUCCCGGGGUUGCGGGCUGUGGCCCCGGGGGCUGAGGGCGGCGCGGGUGCGGCGGAAGCAGGGAAGCCGCGAACCGGCCUUCUGGCUGGCCACAGCGCCCUGCACGGACGAUCAGUGAAUGGAGAUUACUCAAGUAUUUAUCGAGAACUUGCAGUGGGCUAGGCACAGUUCAGGUCCACAGUUAUUUCACUUCUAAAUAAAUAUGGUUUUUUAAAAGUGGCACGCGGUGGAAUGUAAUUGAGACAGGAUGGAGUUCCUAGAGAAAUUUUACUUCCUCAAUCUGCACUCCACCUUACUUAAAAUACAGUCUUGGGUCUGUAAUUCCCUUAUCUGACUCUCAAGGAAAUGACAAAGUAAUGCCUAGAUUGGACUAAACCUCAUUUAACUUCAAGGCUGACCUUUCUCAAAGUUGAACCUUCGUCUUGUGAGGAACAGAAAGAUCAAGAACUCUGAAGCACCUCGACUUUCCACCUGUGAAGAUGUGUUCAAAUUUGCAACGUGCGGCCACACCUAUGAGGUUGAACUUUAUACAAUUGGUUUCUUUAUAGGUUUAGAUGGUUGAAUUUAAGUUACCCCCACUGCUAUUAUUAUUAUUUUGAGACAGAGUCUUAACUCUGUUGCCCAGGCAGGAGUGCAGUGGCGAGAUCUGGACUCACUGCAACCUCUGCCUCCUGGCUUCAAGCAAUUCUCAUGCUUCAGCCUGUAGCUGGAACUACAGGUCACUCCCUCUGGAGGAAACCAGCUGCCACUUUGUGAGGAUACUCAUAGUCCUGUGGAGGCAUAUCCUCCAUAUGGCUGAGACCUCCUGCGAACAACCAUCACUGACUUGCCAGACAUGAGUGUGCCACCUUGGAAGCAGAUUUUCCAGCCCCAGUUAAGCCUUCAGAUGACAUCAGCCCCUGCUAAUCUCUUGACUACAACCUCAUGAGAGACCCUGAGCCAGAACUAGCCAGGCUUACCCCUCAUGGUUACAAAGUGGCUGCAACAGCUCCAGGUGUUCUAUCCUUUAACACAGAAUAACUCAAACAACAAGACCCAAUAUUCAGACAAGAAGGAAAGGGACUUUUGGAGAGUGAAGAAAACUUUCCUAGAAACCUCAAACUUCUCCCCAUGCCUUAUUGGCCAGAUUGUAUCCCAUGCCCAUUUCUAAACCAAUCAUUGGCAAAGUGAGUGGAAUUGACGUGAUUAGAUUAACUUUACCAAGAAUGCAUCCUCAGAGAGGCUGAGAAAAAGUCCAGCCUCCUUUGAAGAGCCUGGCUACCUUUCACCUGAACAAAACAAGAAUUCUGAUGAAAAAUGGAGAAUGUAUGUGGAGCAGGCACCCGGAGUGUCUAUGCCAGGAUUUUUUUUCAGUGCGUUUCACCGGUUAUAUUUUUGUCUCUUUACCUUACAAGAUAUGUGGCACGUUUGCCUAAAACAAGCCUUGCUUUCUGAUUUCUGUGCACUAGGCACUUAAACCUUGCAAAUGUCGCUUACCUAACAGUCACUGUCAAGGAGUACCUGGCUAAAGAAUCUCCAGCUAGACAAAGUAGAAGUGUCUGUGCUCUGGCAGUUGAAUAUAUUGUAUCAGGCUCAACAGCACCUUUCACCAAAGGAUGAGACUUCACAACCAUUAGAUCUUCUUUUAUUUUGUUUUUAUUAAAAAAAAAAAUUUUAACACACCAUUGCUAACUUGAAGCCAUUAGAUCUUCUUACCCCCAAUACCACAAAAGUUUAGUGGAAUCAGGGGUAUACCAAGGCAGGUGGAGUAGGGGAGCUGGGAGUGGUCAGCCCCCAGGGCAGGCAAUGAGGGAUUGUGAAUCUGUGAAGAAUUUUAAAGCAAUGAUACAGCUCUAAAUGCAAUGUACUAUCCUGGACUUAGCCCUGGAAAAGAAAAAAGAUAUUAGUGGAAAAACUGGUAAAAUUCAAAUAAUGUCUGUAGUUUGGUUAAUAGUAUUAUACCAAUGUUAAUUUCUGUGUUUUGAUAAAUGUACCAUGGUUAUGUAAGCUGGAUGAAAGAUAUGUGGGAAAUCUCUCUACUAUUUCUGCAACUCUCCUGUAAACCUAAAAAUGUUUCAAAAUAAAAGAUUUA